rnacentral:snRNA from 1 species
GUGCUCACUUCAACAGCACAUAUACUAAAAUUGGAGUGAUACAGAUUAGCAUGGCCCCUGCGUAAGGAUGACACGCAAAUUCAUGAAGCAUUCCACAGUUAA